CCCUUAGAUGUUCUGGGCUGCACGCGCGCUACACUGAAGCGUUCAACGAGUAUUCACCUUGCCCGGGAGGGUUGGGUAAUCUUUUGAAAACGCUUCGUGAUGGGGAUAGAUUAUUGCAAUUAUUAAUCUUGAACGAGGAAUUCCCAGUAAGCGCAAGUCAACAGCUUGCGUUGAUUACGUCCCUGCCCUUUGUACACACCGCCCGUCGCUACUACUGAUUGGAUGUUUAAGCGAGGUUCUCGAACUGCUAGCGACUUAGCUUCGGUGAGGUCGCAGUGUGGGAAGUGAACCUAGCUUUGGUGUCUAGAGGAAGUAAAAGUCGUAACA
rnacentral:rRNA from 1 species